UGGGGAAUUUUGGACAAUGGGCGCAAGCCUGAUCCAGCCAUGCCGCGUGCAGGAUGAAGGCCUUCGGGUUGUAAACUGCUUUUGUACGGAACGAAACGGCUCUUUCUAAUAAAGAGGGCUAAUGACGGUACCGUAAGAAUAAGCACCGGCUAACUACGUGCCAGCAGCCGCGGUAAUACGUAGGGUGCAAGCGUUAAUCGGAAUUACUGGGCGUAAAGCGUGCGCAGGCGGUGAUGUAAGACAGUUGUGAAAUCCCCGGGCUCAACCUGGGAACUGCAUCUGUGACUGCAUCGCUGGAGUACGGCAGAGGGGGAUGGAAUUCCGCGUGUAGAAGUGAAAUGCGUAGAUAUGCGGAGGAACACCAAUGGCGAAGGCAAUCCCCUGGGCCUGUACUGACGCUCAUGAACGAAAGCGUGGGGAGCAAACAGG
rnacentral:rRNA from 1 species